AUUGAACGCUGGCGGCAGGCUUAACACAUGCAAGUCGAGCGGGGACUUCGGUCCUAGCGGCGAACGGGUGAGGAAUGCUUGGGAAUCUGCCCAGUAGCGGGGGAUAACGUUUCGAAAGGAACGCUAAUACCGCAUACGCCCUACGGGGGAAAGGGGGGGAUCCUCGGACCUCUCACUAUUGGAUGAGCCCAAGUCGGAUUAGCUAGUUGGUGGGGUAAAGGCCUACCAAUGCGACGAUCCGUAGCUGGUCUGAGAGGAUGAUCAGCCACACUGGAACUGAGACACGGUCCAGACUCCUACGGGAGGCAGCAGUGGGGAAUAUUGGACAAUGGGCGAAAGCCUGAUCCAGCCAUGCCGCGUGUGUGAAGAAGGCCUUCGGGUUGUAAAGCACUUUAAGCGAGGAGGAAUGGCUCUUGGUUAAUAACCUUGAGCAGUGACGUUACUCGCAGAAUAAGCACCGGCUAACUCUGUGCCAGCCGCCGCGGUAAAAC
rnacentral:rRNA from 1 species